UACGUAGGGGGCGAGCGUUGUCCGGAAUUAUUGGGCGUAAAGAGCUCGUAGGCGGUUUGUCGCGUCUGCUGUGAAAUCCCGAGGCUCAACCUCGGGCCUGCAGUGGGUACGGGCAGACUGGAGUGCGGUAGGGGAGAAUGGAAUUCCUGGUGUAGCGGUGAAAUGCGCAGAUAUCAGGAGGAACACCGGUGGCGAAGGCGGAUCUCUGGGCCAUUACUGACGCUGAGGAGCGAAAGCGUGGGGAGCGAACAGG
rnacentral:rRNA from 1 species